CUUCCAAGGAGGAGCUGUGGUUUCCAGGCCUUUCUGAGAAUUAUUCACAAGUGGUAGAGGAAAUCCACAGGUGCUGGGGAAAAGUGGCUUCUCCUCACCUCCAGGCAACUGCUGACUUGUUUGCUCAUAUACUAGUGUGUGAACGAAAAUGAAGCGCUUUGAAAUACGAAGCAGUGGCCCGGAAUCACCCUUCAGCUGCAGCAUCCCUGUGGUGUCUCAUGUUCCUGGGAGCUUUGAAUUAAUCCACUACGUCUGGGCAUUCAGGUUGGAGACCCAUGUGGCAAAAGACACAACAGCAACCCUGGCACUCCGAGAAGAAGUUAAUGAGUGCUGAGAGAGAACAAGGAGGUGAGUCGGUCCGCAGCAGUGCUGAAGCAGGAACAUCCCCUUCCCCACAGGGUUUGGCUAAAGCCCAGAAGAAGCCUCAUUGCUGGUGGAAAAUCUUGCAAUUCAGAGUGCGAUUAGAAAAGCAAAGCACAUAACUGGACAGUAUUGAGUGCCACCAGCUACAGAUGCCGACUGGCCAGUGUAGAAUGCUGCAGGCAAACUGCACAGUGCCUCUCUGGGAAGCAGGACCAUUUCAUCCUCCAGCACCAUCACUGGCUUUGUAUUCACCUUUUCAUCCUCUCACUUCUUCUGGAUACCUACCGCCUUCCCAAGAUCUCAUCUGUGAUCUUCAAUGGUUUUCAUCCUCCCCAGGACUCCACUCUCUGUGCCAGGGAUCUCCCUUAUGUAUCAGAGAGAAAAAGAAGGCUUUGUCUAC